rnacentral:pre_miRNA from 1 species
UGUUAAAAAUUUCAUUGAUCUAUACUAUUAAAAACUAACAUGCCUAAUGGAAUAACCAAUAGAGACAUGUGACAUGACACAUGCCACUUGUACCUCAUGUUGAUGUACAUAGACUAAUUUUUAACUGUAGAAAUGGAUAGAAUUUUUAAUA